UGUGUGUGUGUGUGACAGAGAUAUGGUUUUGUUUUCAACGUGAGCUACUCAAUAAAAAGAGGAAGACUGAAAGUUUUGGUAAGAAGAUGGAAGAAGUUUUGAUGGCAUAUGAGGAACAGGAUGAGAACAUCAGUGCAGCUAGAACAGCAGCCCUGGCCGGCCCACCGCUGUAUUUAAAGGAGGAUUCAUCAGAGGAUGAUUUGGAGGCAACCUAGGAGGGAGCAGUGGCUCUGGUGGCAGUGGUCAGUGAAGAGGAGGUGCCAGCAGGAGUCCCUUCGAAACUCACCACGUGUCAGUCGUCCUUGAGGAUCAGGUUGUAAUGUCUCACAGAUCUUGAACAGAUUCACUGGUGAUUUUGUUGGACUGAUCUAUGCUCUCCAUAUGAGAGCUAUCCUGAGAAGCUAAGUGGCCUCUUUGAGUUCAUCCAUGUUGUCCUUCUCUAAUCCUCAUGAUGGGAGAAAGCAGCUCAAACCCAAGUUACAGGCCCUGAGAAAUGAGCUUGAAUUAAGUUGUCAGCAGGUUUUGUUGUUGAAAGUCAGCAAUGUCUAAAAAUUAUUGUUUGGCUUGCAUUCCAAAAACUGUUUUAGUUCUGAUUUUUGUGUGUUAAAACAGGUACUGUGCAAGUAAAGUGAUUUAAUAGUUUUUACUACAAUGCAUGUUUGCAUUGUUUCUGUGGCGUCUUCACACUUUCUGCAUUACCACAUGAAAAAAGCAUUUAUUUGUACAUUGUGCAUUUGUACAUGUACAUUAACAUUUAUACAUUUAUAAUUAUAUUUUGUUUUGUUUAUUUUUUAUGUGUCUUUAUUUUCAUAGUUUUCACAACAUAAAAAUGUCGGGAAAACUGAGAUUUUAUUAAUUAGCUUCAUGGUAUAAAAUUAUGGACAUUGUUACUCCAGUGCACAAGGUAUCAAAAUAUCAAAUUGAACAAAAUUUUCUGAGUCAGGUUAAGGAGUGAAAACUGUCUUAUGCACAAUCAUUGUUUUAUGUCAAUUUGAUUGACUUACAUCAGAAGCUGCAAAUACUGUUAAUGUGAGGGUGAAGUCUACUGAACUUUUAAGUUUCAACUUUGAAGGGGUGUUUUUUCUAAAAAACUUCAUUAAUAGGUUGAAGAGAAAAAAGUAAGUGGAGAGGAGUAAACUACAUUUCAAGAACUGUGAACAUUGAAAUGUUUUAAAUUGAAAUGUUAUGUGUUCAGUUAUGAGUGUUCAGCACUCAACUAAAUAAAUUGUUUAAGUUGUGUCA